GAUGAACGCUGGCGGCGUGCCUAAUACAUGCAAGUCGAGCGAACAGACGAGGAGCUUGCUCCUCUGACGUUAGCGGCGGACGGGUGAGUAACACGUGGAUAACCUACCUAUAAGACUGGGAUAACUUCGGGAAACCGGAGCUAAUACCGGAUAAUAUAUUGAACCGCAUGGUUCAAUAGUGAAAGACGGUUUUGCUGUCACUUAUAGAUGGAUCCGCGCCGCAUUAGCUAGUUGGUAAGGUAACGGCUUACCAAGGCAACGAUGCGUAGCCGACCUGAGAGGGGGAUCGGCCAAACUGGAACUGAGGCACGGUCCAGAACCCUACGGGAGGCAGCAGUAGGGAAUCCUCCGGAAAGGGCGAAAGCCUGACGGAGCAACGCCGCGUGAGUGAUGAAGGUCUUCGGAUCGUAAAACUCUGUUAUUAGGGAAGAACAAAUGUGUAAGUAACUAUGCACGUCUUGACGGUACCUAAUCAGAAAGCCACGGCUAACUACGUG
rnacentral:rRNA from 1 species